UUAUGCAGCUUCGACGCUACUCGGAAGCAGUCAAAAUGGCGGCGCCACAUCGGCCACUCGGCUGGGCGGGCGAAGUCAAAUGCUUCUGGUGGUCCGAACUUUGCCAUAGUUUAUCUGGUAGGCAUCCUGUCGGCUACUUCUGACACCAUGUCAUGAGCGGUUGCAAUGAAAAUGGACUGAGUCACUUAACUUGCGUUUUAGCUUGUAGCUUUAUUAACGAGCGCUCACACUUCGUUGGGAACAACAGCACAUACUGAUGACAUCACACAGCUGCAACUACGGUAGCCUGUAGUCACGCAUCACCACAGUCGGCCAAAACAUUGUUAAUUAAUAUUAUAAGGUCUGUAAUGAAAAUUAUAUUAGAUUUAUUUGCAAUAAAUAAUUUGUGAGUGUUUUGUUCUUCCAGUUGAAUAGCAAUAUGAGAUGAGAUAAAGAGGAAGUGUGAAGAAAGGAAGAGAGGAGAGGAGCAAGGGAGUGGGACAGAGGACGAGACGGAAGGAAGGUGUGGACUGUGGAGAAAGAGAGGAGAGGAGCAAGGGAGUGAGACAGAGGAAGAGAAGGAAGUGAAGAGAGAACAAUGCAGUGGGGAGCAGAGCAGUGGAGAGAACUGAGGAGAGACGAAAUUGCAUUUAUUUCAUGAUGAGAAUUGCAGUAUAUAUGAAGAGUUUAUUUGGUAGCCUAACUAUUAUUUCCCAUUGUCAUUUGUCUUUUACAGAGAGGACAAUUUGAGUAAUUAAAAUGAAGCGGAGCCAUCAGUGUCAUCAAUGUGAUUCCCCUUAAUCAAGUAGGGACGUUUGUUGUUUCCAUGUGCCCUGGGGGAGUGUUUUAGCUUAGUACCUUUUGGGCGCAUGUUCACUGUAUUCAUGAGUUGAAUGCUAGUGUAAAUAAAUGGCACACGUUGGUGUAGCUGCCUGAGAGAAGUUGUUUCGACUCCUUUACUAUAUAAUAAUAGUUAAUAAAAUAAGGGAGACAUAAUCAAUAGAUCUUGGUAAUCUUUUUUUAGUGUAGCUUUCAUGGUAAUGCGUAAAAUCAACUGAGGAGACUGAAUGCAGAGUAGAGCAGUGGAGAGUUAAUUUGAACAAUGAAUAUCCUACAUUAUUGUGCAAUGUUAGAAAGCAUCAGUUGUUUAUAUCGUUAAUGAUUAUCUUAAUUUUCCGAAUGUGGGGAUGUGGGUGGGGUCCACGUCCGCUGUCCGGAGCCCAUCCACCCAUAUCCAAGGGUUCCACUAGUAAA